rnacentral:rRNA from 1 species
ACGAACGCUGGCGGCGUGGAUAAGACAUGCAAGUCGAACGGGAGAAUUGCUAGCUUGCUAAUAAUUCUCUAGUGGCGCACGGGUGAGUAACACGUGAGUAACCUGCCUCUUAGUGGGGGAUAGCCCUGGGAAACCGGGAUUAAUACCGCAUACGAUUGAAAGAUCAAAGCAGCAAUGCGCUAGGAGAUGGGCUCGCGGCCUAUUAGUUAGUUGGUGAGGUAACGGCUCACCAAGGCGAUGACGGGUAGCCGGUCUGAGAGGAUGUCCGGCCACACUGGAACUGAGACACGGUCCAGACACCUACGGGUGGCAGCAGUCGAGAAUCAUUCACAAUGGGGGCAACCCUGAUGGUGCGACGCCGCGUGGGGGAAUGAAGGUCUUCGGAUUGUAAACCCCUGUCAUGUGGGAGCAAAUUAAAAAGAUAGUACCACAAGAGGAAGAGACGGCUAACUCUGUGCCAGCAGCCGCGGUAAUACAGAGGUCUCAAGCGUUGUUCGGAAUCACUGGGCGUAAAGCGUGCGUAGGCUGUUUCGUAAGUCGUGUGUGAAAGGCAGGGGCUCAACCCCUGGAUUGCACAUGAUACUGCGAGACUAGAGUAAUGGAGGGGGAACCGGAAUUCUCGGUGUAGCAGUGAAAUGCGUAGAUAUCGAGAGGAACACUCGUGGCGAAGGCGGGUUCCUGGACAUUAACUGACGCUGAGGCACGAAGGCCAGGGGAGCGAAAGGGAUUAGAUACCCCUGUAGUCCUGGCAGUAAACGGUGCACGCUUGGUGUGCGGGGAAUCGACCCCCUGCGUGCCGGAGCUAACGCGUUAAGCGUGCCGCCUGGGGAGUACGGUCGCAAGAUUAAAACUCAAAGAAAUUGACGGGGACCCGCACAAGCGGUGGAGUAUGUGGCUUAAUUCGAUGCAACGCGAAGAACCUUACCUGGGCUUGACAUGUAAUGAACAACAUGUGAAAGCAUGCGACUCUUCGGAGGCGUUACACAGGUGCUGCAUGGCCGUCGUCAGCUCGUGUCGUGAGAUGUUUGGUUAAGUCCAGCAACGAGCGCAACCCCUGUUGCCAGUUACCAGCACGUCAAGGUGGGGACUCUGGCGAGACUGCCCAGAUCAACUGGGAGGAAGGUGGGGACGACGUCAGGUCAGUAUGGCCCUUAUGCCCAGGGCUGCACACGUACUACAAUGCCCAGUACAGAGGGGGCCGAAGCCGCGAGGCGGAGGAAAUCCUGAAAACUGGGCCCAGUUCGGACUGUAGGCUGCAACCCGCCUACACGAAGCCGGAAUCGCUAGUAAUGGCGCAUCAGCUACGGCGCCGUGAAUACGUUCCCGGGUCUUGUACACACCGCCCGUCACAUCAUGGAAGCCGGUCGCACCCGAAGUAUCUGAAGCCAACCGCAGGGAGGCAGGGUCCUAAGGUGAGACUGGUAACUGGGAUG